rnacentral:rRNA from 1 species
AGUGAACGCUGGCGGUAGGCCUAACACAUGCAAGUCGAACGGCAGCACAGUAAGAGCUUGCUCUUACGGGUGGCGAGUGGCGGGCGGGUGAGGAAUACAUCGGAAUCUACUUUUUCGUGGGGGAUAACGUAGGGAGACUUACGCUAAUACCGCAUACGACCUACGGGUGAAAGCAGGGGAUAUUCGGACCUUGCGCGAUUGAAUGAGCCGAUGUCGGAUUAGCUAGUUGGCGGGGUACAGGCCCACCAAGGCGACGAUCCGUAGCUGGUCUGAGAGGAUGAUCAGCCACACUGGAACUUAAACACGGUCCAGACUCCUACGGGAGGCGGCAGUGGGGAAUAUUGGACAAUGGGCGCAAGCCUGAUCCAGCCAUACCGCGUGGGUGAAGAAGGCCUUCGGUUUGUAAAGCCCUUUUGUUGGGAAAGAAAAGCAGCUGGUUAAUACCCCGCUGUUCUGACGGUACCCAAAGAAUAAGCACCGGCUAACUUCGUG